GUGUCAGCCGCCGCGGUAAUACGUAGGGUGCGAGCGUUGUCCGGAAUUAUUGGGCGUAAAGGGCUCGUAGGCGGUUUGUCGCGUCGGGAGUGAAAUCCACUGGCUUAACUGGUGGCUUGCUUUCGAUACGGGCAGACUGGAGGUAUGCAGGGGAGAACGGAAUUCCUGGUGUAGCGGUGAAAUGCGCAGAUAUCAGGAGGAACACCGGUGGCGAAGGCGGUUCUCUGGGCAUGUCCUGACGCUGAGGAGCGAAAGUGUGGGGAGCGAACAGGAUUAGAAACCCCUGUAGUCC
rnacentral:rRNA from 1 species